rnacentral:RNase_P_RNA from 1 species
GCAAGCCGCAAGGCCGGUGCGCAAGCGCCGGGUGGAAACACCGCACUGGAGGAACGUCCGGACUGCAAAGGGCAGCGUAGCAGCUAACGGCUGUCCACCGAGGGUCUGCGGCGCAAGCAGCAGAUGCGAGGUGAGGAUCAGAGCAACAGAGACGAGUCGCGGCCCGGGGCAACCUGGGCCGCGGGUGAAACGGGCAAUCUCUACGUGCAGCAAUACCAAAUAGGCACACACGCUGUUGCGCAGUUCACUGCGCAGCGGCAACCGGGGCCCCCGGUCCGUGUGCGGGUAGGUAGCACCGAGCCAUUGGGUGACCAGUGGCCCAGAUUAAUGGCAGUCAGGUUGGGGGAAGCCCCAAUCCACAGAAUCCGGCGUAUCGGUGGUUCUCACAC